CCUACGGGUGGCAGCAGUCGAGAAUCAUUCACAAUGGGGGAAACCCUGAUGGUGCGACGCCGCGUGGGGGAAUGAAGGUCUUCGGAUUGUAAACCCCUGUCAUGUGGGAGCAAAUUAAAAAGAUAGUACCACAAGAGAAAGAGACGGCUAACUCUGUGCCAGCAGCCGCGGUAAUACAGAGGUCUCAAGCGUUGUUCGGAAUCACUGGGCGUAAAGCGUGCGUAGGCUGUUUCGUAAGUCGUGUGUGAAAGGCGAGGGCUCAACCCGCGGACGGCACAUGAUACUGCGAGACUAGAGUAAUGGAGGGGGAACCGGAAUUCUUGGUGUAGCAGUGAAAUGCGUAGAUAUCGAGAGGAACACUCGUGGCGAAGGCGGGUUUCUGGACAUUAACUGACGCUGAGGCACGAAGGCCAGGGGAGCGAAAGGGAUUAGAUACCCUUGUAGUC
rnacentral:rRNA from 1 species